rnacentral:rRNA from 1 species
CCUACGGGAGGCAGCAGUAGGGAAUCUUCCGCAAUGGACGAAAGUCUGACGGAGCAACGCCGCGUGAGCGAUGAAGGCCUUCGGGUCGUAAAGCUCUGUUGUUAGGGAAGAACAAGUAUCGGAGUAACUGCCGGUACCUUGACGGUACCUAACCAGAAAGCCACGGCUAACUACGUGCCAGCAGCCGCGGUAAUACGUAGGUGGCAAGCGUUGUCCGGAAUUAUUGGGCGUAAAGCGCGCGCAGGUGGUUCCUUAAGUCUGAUGUGAAAGCCCACGGCUCAACCGUGGAGGGUCAUUGGAAACUGGGGAACUUGAGUGCAGAAGAGGAAAGUGGAAUUCCACGUGUAGCGGUGAAAUGCGUAGAGAUGUGGAGGAACACCAGUGGCGAAGGCGACUUUCUGGUC